UAGCAUGGUCACCAUAGAAACGGUUUAUUUCUACGGAAGAAUAGACUAAGUGACAGUUAGACAAUGGAAAUCCGCCAUUUUGUCUAAAAAAUCUGUCAGUAUGUCGAUUCUUUCCCAUUUCUAUUGUUGUUAUGCUAGGCCUGCUGAUAGUAAAAUGGUGAAACAG